CCUACGGGUGACAGCAGUGGGGGAUAUUGCACAAUGGGGGAAACCCUGAUGCAGCGAUGCCGCGUGAAUGAAGACGGCCUUCGGGUUGUAAAGUUCUGUCGCAGGGGACGAAAAUGACGGUACCCUGCAAGAAAGCUCCGGCUAACUACGUGCCAGCAGCCGCGGUAAUACGUAGGGAGCAAGCGUUGUCCGGAAUUACUGGGUGUAAAGGGAGCGUAGGCGGGAGGAUAAGUUGAAUGUGAAAUCUAUGGGCUCAACCCAUAGUUGCGUUCAAAACUGUUCUUCUUGAGUGAAGUAGAGGCAGGCGGAAUUCCUAGUGUAGCGGUGAAAUGCAUAGAUAUCGCGCAGAACUCCGAUUGCGAAGGCAGCAUGCCGGCUCCACACUGACGCUGAGGCACGAAAGCGUGGGUAUCGAACAGGAUUAGAUACCCGAGUAGUC
rnacentral:rRNA from 1 species